GGGCUCUUGAGCCUCUAUGAUUGGGCUGUUCCCACACUGUGGCGUGUACUUUUAUUCUCAAUAAAUCCCUGCUUUUGCUUUCCUUGCCUCAUUUGUGCAUUUUGUCAACUUCUUCAUUUGAGAUGCCAAGAACCUGAACACCUUCUACUGGUAACAUAUAUUUUGGCGAGCCAGCCUGGAGACAAGCUACUCCUAGUAGCUCCCGGUUAAUUGAGGACAGCUGGCCGGGGCCACUCUCGGGUGCCUUCUGAAGGCCAAGAAACGAAAAGGGAUGGCUGCCCUGCCCAGAAGGGGGAAGGACUUUUUUCUAUCUCUCCGGUUAGAGUUCCUCAUCCCAACAUGUGACGCAAUUGCUGUGGCAGCUCAUCCAGGGUGAACUCACACAUGUUUCAGACAACUUAAACCUUCUUUCCUCAUGCCAAAUUCUUCCCUUCCUCCAUUCAGCUGUCUAAGGACAAGAUAGAGGGUUCAGAUAUGUCAUAAAUUGUGAGAAUUAGGGAAAUUAACAAAGGGGAUUUAUGCAGGAACUGACGUGUAGGUUUACUGCCCAAAUUUAUAGAGUUAAAGGGUU
rnacentral:lncRNA from 10 species